GCGAGGGCUGAGGUGUUCACACCUGCCCACGGCAGCCUGCCUCGCCCUCAAGCGCCUCAAAGCUUCCUAAGCGCUUACAUUGGUCUUGGGACAGCCGACUUUGGCUUCUUUGUUUGUUUGAGGGACCGCGGAAGUGGCGGGGAAUGUGCCCCCGCUUGAGACCGCUUAUUGUGAGCCCUCAACGGAAAUCCUGCACGGAAGGCAACCGCCUCCCCGCUCGCGAAGGCUUCAUUUGCUCUGAGUUAUCAUUGAGAACUAAAUGGAGAAGAAAAGAACUGAAGGCCUGAAGAUAUGUCAUCUGUAGAAAAGGUGGCCUCUUCUCAAGCUUUCUUGGCAAAUCAAGAGCUUCUGCCUUUUGGAGGACAUCCUCUUGACCUCCCACCCAUAUCAGCUCUUAGAGGACAUUCCACAGGAACAUUGCCUUCUUGUCCUCCAGUAUUUUUUAUGGAAACAGAAAUUAGGUUAUCUUCCUUAUGCUCUAGAUGGACAUCUGAAAUCAUCAAACCCUUGAGAGAAACAGCCCUCAUUCUUUUAUGAGACAACCUGGAAGAAAACAGGACUCUGAAGAUUUGUCUCCAUAUUCUCUGGAAAGAUGUACUCUGUUUGCAAUAAGAGGGAGCCACAUGGUUUAUUAGAUGGUUAUUAAUUGAGCAUUCUGUGCAAAGAAGUUUGUGCCUUAGAUUUAGAAUUCCACCCUCAGUUGGAAUACAGAUGAUCCCUAACAAGUCACAUGAAAAAAUGAACUGUGGAGCCAGAAGAGUGAGUUCUUGGAGAACUAAGGGCCAGAGACCUGUGAGCAAGAUUUGAUAAUUUUAUAAAAAUUAAAAGACGAUUUGAAAUGUUA
rnacentral:lncRNA from 1 species